UUCGUUAACUCCAACAUUUCAAUUCUCAUUUCUUUCACAACAAAAAAGCGCCAUCUCCACUACUCAGUACUACUCACACUCACUACUAUCAAAACGUUUCUAACGGAACAGAGAAGAAGCUCCUUUCAAAAACCCAGUUGUUCUCCGUGUCAUUUGCCUCCUUAAUUCCUCUUAUCUAUUCGUGCAAGCAAAAGACCGUCAACAAACUAUGGAUUUCUCAGAAAAACAAAUAAAGGCCUUAGACAUGAUGAUGAUUGUCAACAUCUUCUUUAUAAUAUUUACGGCUCUAUCUCUCUACAUCAGAGAGGUUGUAAGCUUGGUAGUGACUUUUACUCUCGAACAAACCCCAUUAAAGUGGUCACUCUUUUGUUUUGUAUUCACCACUUUCCUCUCCCUCGCCAUCAAGCUAGCCAUGAUCCGUUUGCAAAACAAGAUCAACCGCUACAUCAUACUGUUGGGAAUGAUUCUUUGUGCUUUUGUGCUUGUCCUUGGCUGCUCCCUCAUCAUCAUCUUUUACCAUUUCGCUGUCAACAUUUACAUUACUUUUGCACUUUCUCUUGUCCUUAUAACAUUCCUCCGUGACUACUAUUAUGUUUGUAGAACAAUCUGGAUUAGCUAGUUUGGAUGGUAGUAUUAGUAAUAGUCUGUUUCAGAAUCACAAUGAAGGUUGUAAAUAAUUUAAAUUUUUAGAUGUAAUAUCAAUUUCAUAUCAUAGAUGCUAACUUUUCAAUACUUCUUAAUAUCCCUUCCUCAGCUUAUAAGAUAUCAUUAAUUUAAUGUUGAUUGUAUUAUGAACAUAGGAACAAAUUGAUCAAACUCUUCUGUCUGUUACAUCUGUUGGAAUGUCUUGGAUGUGGUGGGUGAAGUUCAUUCAAAUCGGGUGGGGGGUGUUUUAUAAAAUUUGAUAUUAAGCGGAGAUAAUCGAAUUACGUUUUAGACCUGGAUCGAUGUGUAUGUGUUGAAUGGGCAUAUAUGAUCUAAUAGUGGCAGAGCUGUUUGGGAGGGAACAUGGGAAUUAUGCAGAUUUUUGCAGAUUAUAUUGUUUCUGUAAUAAUGUUGCAGGGUUGAGUAUAUCAGGUUUGGCUGAAUUUGUUCUCAUCAUUUAUGGUCUUGUGUUGAAUUGUAUAUGAUUUAAUUUAUGAAACCAUUAUCGAAGUUGAUUGUUACAUUACACUUGGUUGGAGAAUUGGGGAAUCAGUAGUUUCUUGAUGAGAGUUGGCAUCUCCUAUGGUUUGUUAAGUAGGUACAGCAUCUUGGCGAGUGAAAUAAGUUACAGUAAUUAGUAACUAUAAAUGCAUACACUGUGUGGAAGUAGUGGAGUCUGACAAGUGGUUUUAAAGCAUCAGAGGUGGUAUUGAUGCAAAUUGAUUACCAGAUUGAGGAAAUGUAGCCUGGUUGUGAGAUUUCAUUGGGCCCAUUUGAGUUUUAGUUAUCGUUGCUACUUUUCUUUGCGUUGGAUAGAUACUGGUGUGUGAUUUGUGCUCUUGGAUCAUUUUUGAUUUAUUUGUAAAUUAUGAUUAAUGUAACCUGUGGCAUACAUAUGAUCUGAGUAUGUGUUUGUAUGUGCGGUGAGGCAGUGUUUUACGCUACAAUUUGUAGCUUCGGUAAAAGCACGGCAAAAGGACACUGGGACGUGAUAAAUCAAAGGCAAACACAGAUCCAAACAUCAAACUAAUUUUAAGACUUUUGAGUUAUAAGUUAAUAGUACUAUUUAGUCAAGGUUGAUUGUGGGAGUCAAGAUAACUGUGGCCUGGACUUAUCAGAUGUCAAAAAACUGCAAAAAGAUUGGGUGCGCAACACCCUCAUUCAGUUUUGAUCUCAAGACGUCUAUAAUGUUUGGUAAUGAGACAAAAUGGUAGCCAAAAAUGUGAGAUCCUAGUUCACUAUGGUGGUUUCAAGAGGGAAAAUGAUCGUGAGGUUCUUUGGCUAAGAUGCUACUGUUUCAGAACUCAUUCUCAAGGCUUGUACUAUUUUAGAAGAUGUGGAAUUAUAUACUGCACCUGUGCACCAUUGUGAAUUUAUUGACUGCAGAUUUUGCUAUGUUUUAUUUACAGGGUUAUGGGCAGUAUAUAAAGGAACAAAAGUUGAAUGAGUCUCUUGAAGAGAUAAUGAGGAAACAAUUUGAAGAGCAUUCAGCAGUAGCAAGUUAGCUACUUGAACCAAGCUAUGCAACUAUGCAAUUGUACAGUCAAGAUAAGGACUAAUUUUGCAGACCAUGCAGUUACAGUCUUUGCUUGAUGCAGAAGGAUCUAAAAGGACUCACAUGAUUGAGCUUUUGGAAUCACUUGGAGGCUCGCCUUUUGGCCAAAACGUAAGUCAUUUUGCAUUCAGGGUGGUCCUGCCACUGUUGCCUAAUGAGCGUGAUUGGGAAUCAAUCCUUAUGAGCUCAACGUCUCAAGUUCGGCGCGUAUUGGAUAACUGUGGUGGUUAUCUGGGGGAAGUUGAGAAUCAUUUGACCGACGAAAUGAUUAGAGUCAACACAUAUGAAGCUCAACAAAUCCUCAACAUCCCGCUAUCCUGGAGAUUACCACCUGAUAAGUUAAUUUGGCAUUGGGAAAAGGAAGGAAAAUUCUGUAAGGUCAGCUUAUUACAUUCUUUCUAUCUGAAGAAAGAAACAGAAGCAGCCCUGAAGCAUCCUCAUCCAGAGAUCAAGAGUUGUGGAAGGCGAUCUGAAGGUAAAAGUGCCCAAUUGUGUCAAAUAAAACCCUACAGAGGUUAGCGAAGCAAGUUAUUCCAACUAGAGGUAGACUGGAAAAGAAAGAGCCGACUAUUGAUACAACAUGUCCCCUUUGCUAUAAUGAUGUAGAAUGCCAAGAACAUUUGUUUAUUCAGCGUUAACUUAGGGAAGCUUUGGGAAGGAAGAAACCAGCUUAUUUUUAAAAAUGAGAAAUUUUGCCCAAUUUCUAAUGCUGCUGCAGAUUUUAACUCUGCAAACUGUGCAAAUCCAAUCCAGACUGUGAGAGAGAGCCCUGCCGGUUGGGAACCUCCGGAGAAAUUCAAUACUAAAGUUUACAUUGAUGCGGGUUGCUUCUCAAAUGGCACUACAUGUUGGGGUUUGAUCAUGAGAAAUCACCUUGGAAUAGCCGAGUUUGCUGUUACAUACAAGAGAAGAUCAAAGUUUCUCCAACAUUGGCUGAGUCUAUGGUACUAAGAUGGUUUAGCAGGAUCCUAGCUUCAAAUCACUUGAAAGAAAUUACCAUUGAAUCAGAUUCGGAAGUCACUGUCAAAUGCUUAGAAGGAAGUGUUUGUGAGGCUCAAUUGGAGAACAAGAUUGUAAGGAUUUUCUUUCUAGUCUGCCAAAUGUAACUGUUAAGUCUCUUCGAAGAAGCCAAAAUGCGGCUGCUCAUAAGCUAGUCUCUAUUGCUAGAAAUCCAGGUGCCAAAUCAUGGGUGUACUGCGUCCCUGACCCUGUGGCAAAGAUUGUUUGUACCGAAUCUUCCGUUUAUCGUUGAAUGAAAAUUUAUUUCCGUUAUAGAAAAAAAGAAGAAAUGAUUAGACUGAACCACUACUUGAUUUAUCAUGCCAAAGGAAUAUUUUUAAUGUAAUCCGCAAUGAGAUGAUUGGAAACAACAUGCUUAGAUUAACCCAAAUGGAAUAGUAACUUUGAGUGUUCUAUGACGGGAUUUAGGGCAGAUGUAACGUUUUUUUUUCUGUUUAUUAUUACAACAUUGUCCUUACUACACCAAAGAUUAUC